GAUCCUGGCUCAGGAUGAACGCUAGCUACAGGCUUAACACAUGCAAGUCGAGGGGUAGCAGGAUCUAGCAAUAGAUUGCUGACGACCGGCGCACGGGUGAGUAACACGUAUCCAACCUUCCGUUUACUCGGGGAUAGCCUUUCGAAAGAAAGAUUAAUACCCGAUAGUAUGCUUUUCCCGCAUGGGAGAAUCAUUAAAGUUUUUCGGUAAUCGAUGGGGAUGCGUUCCAUUAGGCAGUUGGUGAGGUAACGGCUCACCAAACCUUCGAUGGAUAGGGGUUCUGAGAGGAAGGUCCCCCACAUUGGAACUGAGACACGGUCCAAACUCCUACGGGAGGCAGCAGUGAGGAAUAUUGGUCAAUGGACGAGAGUCUGAACCAGCCAAGUAGCGUAGAAGGAUGACUGCCCUAUGGGUUAGUAAACUUCUUUUAUAUGGGAAUAAAGGAGCCUACGUGUUAGGUUUUUGUAUGUACCAUACGAAUAAGGAUCGGCUAACUCCGUGCCAGCAGCCGC
rnacentral:rRNA from 1 species